rnacentral:rRNA from 1 species
UACGUAGGGGGCAAGCGUUGUCCGGAUUUAUUGGGCGUAAAGAGCGUGUAGGCGGCCUGACAGGUCUGCUGUGAAAACUCGAGGCUCAACCUCGAGAUGUCGGCGGAAACCGUCUGGCUAGAGUCCGGAAGAGGAGAGUGGAAUUUCCGGUGUAGCGGUGAAAUGCGUAGAUAUCUGGAGGAACACCGGUGGCGAAGGCGGCAUCCUGGACCAACACUGACACUGAGGAGCGAAAGCCAGGGGAGCAAACGGG